rnacentral:rRNA from 1 species
UACGGGGGGGGCAAGCGUUGUUCGGAAUUACUGGGCGUAAAGGGCUCGUAGGUGGCCAACUACGUCAGACGUGAAAUCCCUCGGCUUAACCGGGGAACUGCGUCUGAUACUGGAUGGCUUGAGUUCGGGAGAGGGAUGCGGAAUUCCAGGUGUAGCGGUGAAAUGCGUAGAUAUCUGGAGGAACACCGGUGGCGAAGGCGGCAUCCUGGACCGACACUGACACUGAGGAGCGAAAGCCAGGGGAGCAAACGGG